rnacentral:rRNA from 1 species
GACGGACGGUGCAAGCGUUGCUCGGAAUUACUGGGCGUAAAGGGCGCGUAGGCGGCCUGUUAAGUCGGACGUGAAAUCCCUCGGCUCAACCGGGGAACUGCGUCUGAUACUGGCGGGCUUGAAUUCGGGAGAGGGAUGUGGAAUUCCAGGUGUAGCGGUGAAAUGCGUAGAUAUCUGGAGGAACACCGGUGGCGAAGGCGACAUCCUGGACCGGUAUUGACGCUGAGGCGCGAAAGCCAGGGGAGCAAACGGG